GGCUGGGAGGGUCAGUGGCAGAACACUUGCCCAGCAUGCACAGAGCCCUGGGUUCAAUCCCAGCAGGCCA
rnacentral:tRNA from 1 species